GAACGCUGGCGGCGUGCCUAAUACAUGCAAGUCGAACGGUCUUUUCUAUGGAAGCUUGCUUCCACUGAGAAGAUAGUGGCGAACGGGUGAGUAACACGUGGGUAACCUGCCCAUAAGAGGGGGAUAACAUCCGGAAACGGGUGCUAAUACCGCAUAGUUUUUCUUGAUCGCAUGAUUGAGAAAGGAAAGACGGCCUUUGUGCUGUCGCUUAUGGAUGGACCCGCGGCGUAUUAGUUAGUUGGUGAGGUAACGGCUCACCAAGACGAUGAUACGUAGCCGACCUGAGAGGGUGAUCGGCCACAUUGGGACUGAGACACGGCCCAAACUCCUACGGGAGGCAGCAGUAGGGAAUCUUCCGCAAUGGACGAAAGUCUGACGGAGCAACGCCGCGUGAGUGAAGAAGGUUUUUCCGGAUCGUAAAACUCUGUUGUCAGAGAAGAACAAGUUGGAGAGUAACUGCUCCAGCCUUGACGGUAUCUGACCAGAAAGCCACGGCUAACUACGUGCCAGCCGCAGC
rnacentral:rRNA from 1 species